rnacentral:rRNA from 1 species
AUUGAACGCUGGCGGCGUGCCUAACACAUGCAAGUCGAGCGGUAACAGGUGUAGCAAUACAUGCUGACGAGCGGCGAACGGGUGAGUAAUGCUUCGGAAUCUGCCCAAUGGUGGGGAAUAACCAGCCGAAAGGUUGGCUAAUACCGCAUACGUCCCACGGGAGAAAGCAGGGGAUCGCAAGACCUUGCGCCAAUGGAUGAGCCGAAGUCGGAUUAGCUAGNGGUAGGGUAACGGCCUACCAAGGCGACGAUCCGUAGCUGGUCUGAGAGGACGACCAGCCACACUGGGACUGAGACACGGCCCAGACUCCUACGGGAGGCAGCAGUGGGGAAUAUUGGACAAUGGGGGAAACCCUGAUCCAGCGACGCCGCGUGUGUGAAGAAGGCCUGCGGGUUGU